AACCUGCGGAAGGAUCGUUU
rnacentral:rRNA from 1 species